rnacentral:rRNA from 1 species
GACGAACGCUGGCGGCGUGCCUAAUACAUGCAAGUUGAGCGCUGAAGGUUGGUACUUGUACCAACUGGAUGAGCAGCGAACGGGUGAGUAACGCGUGGGGAAUCUGCCUUUGAGCGGGGGACAACAUUUGGAAACGAAUGCUAAUACCGCAUAAAAACUUUAAACACAAGUUUUAAGUUUGAAAGAUGCAAUUGCAUCACUCAAAGAUGAUUCCGCGUUGUAUUAGCUAGUUGGUGAGGUAAAGGCUCACCAAGGCGAUGAUACAUAGCCGACCUGAGAGGGGGAACGGCCACAUUGGGACUUAGACCCGGCCCAAACUCCUACGGGAGGCAGCAGGAGGGAAUCUUCGGCAAUGGGCGAAAGUCUGACCGAGGAACGCCGCGGGAGGGAAGAAGGUUUUCGGAUCGGAAAACUCUGUUGGUAGAGAAGAACGUUGGUGAGAGUGGAAAGCUCAUCAAGUGACGGUAACUACCCAGAAAGGGACGGCUAACUACGUG